rnacentral:lncRNA from 1 species
CCUCCAUAAUCUAUGAGAUGCUGGAAUUUUUGAUUGCAGAAUUUAUGGACCUGUAGUGCAAAAAUAUGUCUCCGUUACCUAAGUGAAUAUAGUUCACAUAUGUUUAUAGCUAGAAAGUUGGUAUUGUUAUUGAAGAUAGACCUUGUACGCAUAACUCGUAUAUAAAAAAUCCUUAACAAAGACCAAGAGACUUGUCGGAAUAACAGCAGGUUAGUUUUUAGGAAUUACUAUCUAAUGAGUAACACUGCUGCUUCUUUAUCUCAAUUAUAGAUGCUUCUAUCUUUCAUUGGCCUUAUUUUGCAUUUUGCAACUAGUGGAAUAUUGCUUUUUGUCGACUCUGUAUUUGAAGUCAUUGUGAACCUAAUUUCCUCAUAAUUUAUGCAGGCGUGUUCUGGUCUUGUAAACCUGACCCUGGAUACUGUUGAAGGCAAAGUAGCGGAGGCUUUGUUUGUACCAAAAAACCAAAUGUGCCAAGUCUGGGAUUGAGCUCCAUGUGAUGGUAUUUUCCUUGUGAAUUUUAAGGUGAUUGUGACUAUUUGCUUUUGAGGGUAAUUAUUAAUGUAAUGAUAUUGAUAAGCCACUAAUGUCGACCUUAAUGAAAGUUAAUAUAGGCAAUUAUUGGCUAUAUCAAGUAGUAAUAGCCUUAGGAUUUAUAGGGCAUCCUAGAAAAAGCAAGAAAGGUUCAACAUUUUGGCUCAUUGCUCUUUUUACCAAGGAAAAUGCCCACUUGUACACUCAUUUCUUGACAUUGGCAGUGUUGGCAAGUGUUGAUUGGGUGAAAAAAUUGUGUAAAAUGUAAACUAUCCUACCUCGUGGCAAAAUGUAAAUGACGAUGUACAUGUAGCAUGAUUGUUUUACCAAAGUUUAAUGAU